rnacentral:rRNA from 1 species
UACGUAGGGUGCAAGCGUUGUCCGGAAUUAUUGGGCGUAAAGAGCUCGUAGGCGGUCUGUUGCGUCCGCUGUGAAAACUCGGGGCUUAACCCCGAGCCUGCAGUGGAUACGGGCAGACUAGAGGUAGGUAGGGGAGAAUGGAAUUCCCGGUGUAGCGGUGAAAUGCGCAGAUAUCGGGAGGAACACCGGUGGCGAAGGCAGCUCGCUGGGACGUUACUGACGCUGAGACGCGAAAGCGUGGGGAGCAAACAGG